GGUUGAUCCUGCCAGUAGUCAUAUUCUUGUCUCAAAGAUUAAGCCAUGCAUGUCUAUGUACAUGCCGUAUUAAGGCGAAACCGCGAAUGGCUCAUUAAAUCAGUUACGGUUCAUUAGAGCUUGAGCCCAUUUACAUGGAUAACUGUGGUAAUUCUAGAGCUAAUACAUGCACAAAAGCCUUGACCAAACCGUGGCAACACGGCCCAAAGGGAAAGGCGCAUUUAUUAGACCAAGACCAAUGGGAACAUUAAGGGUUGUGGUGCCCGGAGGCCGGUUCACGCCGGUCUUCGCA
rnacentral:rRNA from 1 species